UACGUAGGUGGCGAGCGUUGUCCGGAAUUACUGGGCGUAAAGGGCGCGUAGGCGGUUUUUUAAGUCAGAUGUGAAAACCCGGGGCUUAACUCUGGGAUUGCAUUUGAAACUGGAAGGCUUGAGUGCAGGAGAGGUAAGUGGAAUUCCUAGUGUAGCGGUGAAAUGCGUAGAUAUUAGGAGGAACACCAGUGGCGAAGGCGACUUACUGGACUGUAACUGACGCUGAGGCGCGAAAGCGUGGGGAGCAAACAGG
rnacentral:rRNA from 1 species